UACGUAUGGGGCAAGCGUUAUCCGGAUUUACUGGGUGUAAAGGGAGCGUAGGCGGCAUGGCAAGUUAGAAGUGAAAGCCUGGGGCUCAACCCCGGAAUUGCUUUUGAAACUGUCAGGCUAGAGUGUCGGAGGGGUAAGCGGAAUUCCUAGUGUAGCGGUGAAAUGCGUAGAUAUUAGGAGGAACACCGGUGGCGAAGGCGGCUUACUGGACGAUUACUGACGCUGAGGCUCGAAAGCGUGGGGAGCAAACAGG
rnacentral:rRNA from 1 species